rnacentral:lncRNA from 1 species
UUGGGAGCCUAUAAAGUAGCAAAGGUGGCAGUUUUCAGGUCUCUGCACAAUAUCCUGAUGAAGUGGAAUUGUCAUCUCCAGAUGUCACUCAGAAUGAGCAAGGCUCAGCUAAUAAACGGCUGAGCAAAAGUGGACAUACCGUCUACUGCUUGAUUACUAAUCUAUGGGCUACCCGGCAGGCCUUAUUUAGACAGAACUGUAACCAUACAAAGAGUUAUUUUAUUUACCAAUAUUAAAAUUAGUCAUGCAGCUUACAAAUAGUCACCUUAAAUGUACCCUUACCUUCCUCUUUUGGAAAAGUUAAUUGUUAGAAAUCUGCCAGUUAAGAUAAAACUCAACUUUCAAAAAAGUACUUGUGAUGAGCGAGGGCUGAGGAAAGGCGUGGAAUAAAAUAGUUCGUGGCCAACUCCAGCCUGUGUGGAAGGCCUAGGAGGAUUACUCAUCUGAGUUGGAGAAAAAGAAAUUCCUUUUAUCUGUUAUUAUUCAGGAAUUUUUGUAGAAGCCUAGUCUGUAUGCCUUAGAAGUUUCAGAAACAAGCAAUCUUUUUUUCUUAAUUAACAAAAUACAGUCAUGUCACAACAAGGAUGUAUUCUCAUAAAUGUGCUGUUAGGCAGUUUCAUUGUGAACAUCAUGGAAUGUAGCUGCAUCAAUGAAAAUGCCUAUGACAUCACAAGGCAAUGUAAUCUUAUGGGACCACCAUGCCAUGCACAUACCAUUGUGUACCAAAACAUUUUGCACUUCACAACUAAAAUCACUGAAGCACAGAAGAUCUUUCAGGUUUUCUUCUGGGUACGUUAUGGGACAGUAUUCCUUGCCCGUAAUGAAACGUGAUCAAGAAAGUAGAGUUAACAUAGUUGUUCUACUGUCCUGUAUUUCUUUGCUGAAAGAAACUGUCAAUGAGUCCUUGGUUGACCAGUAUUGCAUGUCUCUAUCUGUUUUCAUGAGAAACCACUUUGAAGAUAUCAACAUGUAAUACAACAAGCAUUGUUAAUUCCCUACCACUUUGUUUGUAACUCUGUAUUGUCUGUACUGUUCUUUUGCUAGUUUGUGAAAGGUUGUCUGUCUGUUAACGUUUUCCUCCUUUUAUUUUUAAAAUAAAAAAAAAAUUUAAAAAAAGAAAGUAAAAUAUUGCCUUCUUUACAGACUGCCUUUUCCUUGUGCAUCUUCAGAGACACAGUCAGGAAGGUGAAAAAUCCUAAAAUAUUUAUUCCAGUUAAUGUUUUAAACUUCUAAGUCCAGUUGGUUCUUGCAGUGGUGGAGGUAGGUGCUGGAGGACCCAACUAGGUUACAGUCAAGCCCUGGAGGUGCAAAUUGAUCACAGGCGGAGUCCACUCUGGGGCAGCACGUAAGAUUAACUCUAGUCCUUUGCCCUGAUAAAACGAGGCAGGUGUCAGGGGGAUGGACUUUUCUGGAUAGGAUGGAGACCCGGAGGAAUGAAAUCUUCUCUGGUUAGAGAGGAAAUUUGGUAUUAAGAGCCUCACUCCAUCCCAAUAAUAACCUAACAACUGGCGGUGUCCAGGGCACCGGGUGGAGUGGGAGGCAGGAAGUAGAAAGGCCAAACUCCUUUCUCUGGUUCGGCCAGAGAAAUUUUCCCGGGGCGCGGUGUUAAGCACGGGAAUAUGAAGCCAAGGAGGAGGUGGUUUUGUCCUUGAAGAGCUCACAGGUCAGGAGAACGACUUUAACAUUCCCCGUGGGUUUUGAUGCCUUUUAUCCCGGGAGUUGAGGACAGUUGCAUGUAAUUCCAUCCACACACUUUCCUAAAGAUUUCAAAACAGGGAAAACGAGGCGCGGGAUGGGGUGCAGGGGAGAUGCUGCAGGGACUCGGGCCACACUGGCGGGGGGGCUCCCAGGGCCGUCCCGCCUGGGCCCGCUCCCUCCCGCGGCGGGCUCGGGCUCCGGCGA